CGACCUGCUGCGGGCUAAUCCAGUGUAUGUGCGCAUCGAUACCACCUGCUGUUAGGAUACGCCCUUCUCCGGCAAUGGCUUCAGUGCCAGGGCCAAUGAUGAUAUCAAUGCCGUCUUGAAUGUCCGGAUUACCGGCCUUACCAAUGGCGACAAUGCGGCCAUCUUUGAGGCCGACAUCUGCUUUGAUAAUACCUGUAUAAUCAACGAUCAGCGCAUUGGUGAUGACGGUAUCGACAGCGCCGUUUUCUCGGCUGAUUUGGGAUUGCCCCAUGCCAUCACG
rnacentral:sRNA from 1 species